rnacentral:lncRNA from 1 species
CUUGAACCAUAUGAAUGCAGCUAAAACCGAACGUACCGAUGGAUCCGACAAGGAUAAAGGGAAGGCGAAGGCGAACCCGUAGAUUACAUUUGUAAUAGUAUAUGUUUUGUAAGGAAUAAUAGUGAUAUUAUGACAAAGACAAUAUAUUGGUUGUACAUAACUCUUUUGAUAUAUAUAUAAGACAUAUUCCCAAAUUUAGGAACGUCACACCCUAGGCCAAGCCCAAUGCAAGAGCAGUCCUAGUUAUUCAAUUUGACUUGCAAGUUUUACUACAAAAAAUUAUUACUUGAUCUCUCCCC